rnacentral:lncRNA from 1 species
GCAAAGUUGAGGAAAAGGCCACAAGAAGCCACCGCAUCAAUACUUGAACUACGAGCUAUCAAAGACGAGCCGAUAGAAGAUCAUUGAGAACCGGAAGAUACCUUUCAGCUAAUUGCAUUAUCUUCUCGGAAUCCAAUUCAGUCAUACUUGACCUUAUUUCUCAGCCUUUCGCAAAGACUUUUCAGAAUUUUUUAGUACGGAG